GCUUCCUGCCUUGAUCCAGAGCUUGCACCCGUGGCAGGGCUCCCUUGCAAGGAGGGCUGGCUGUCACAGUAGGCCCAUUACACAUCUCACUAUCAUCCUCGCAUGGGGACAGCUUAGGGAGGCAGCACAGCUCAGGAGUUCUUUGAGGAAGGUCUGAAAGGGGGCAGACUGGGAAGGCUCUCCCUUCUUUGUGGAAUCGAUUCUUCACGGUCUACAUUUCUCUUUGCCAUACUGCUCUGGGCUCUGGGGGUUGACCUGAAUGGACCACACAGCCAUGGUGUCUCCUGUCCUCCACCUUCACUGGUGAAGACUGGGAGUGAGGAAGAAGAGUGAGAUUGCACCCUCUCUGCAGGACCAUGGGCAGACCCUGCCCCUUACCUCUUCUCAGGGGUCUCUCUUCUCUCCUGUUAACUUCUUCCCAUUCCCUCAUCAGGCCUUUGCUUGGUUUCUGGACAUGCCGCCCACACCUUUGUAAAUUGUCCCUUUAAUCUCUUCAAAUAACCCAGUUUAAGGGUGCCAUUUGUAUCCUGCCAGGAUCCUGUCUCAACCACUAAACAAUAUUCACAUAAUCAAAAUGUAAACACUA
rnacentral:lncRNA from 10 species